CCCUUAGAUGUUCUGGGCCGCACGCGUGCUACACUGAGUGGAUCAGCGGGUCAGGUUGCGCGAAAGCGUUUCCUAAUCUUUAAAUCCGCUCGUGAUGGGGAUUGACGGUUGCAAUUUUCUGUCAUGAACGAGGAAUACCUUGUAAGCGCGGGUCAUCAUCCCGCGCUGAAUACGUCCCUGCCCUUUGUACACACCGCCCGUCGCUCCUACCGAUUGAGUGGUCCGGUGAGGCUUUGGGAUCUGAGCGGAAAGAGCGUUUCGCUAUUUCUGCUCGGAAAACUCAGUCGAACCUUAUCAUUUAGAGGAAGGAGAAGUCGUAACA
rnacentral:rRNA from 1 species